UAAAAAUAAAGCAAUAAUAAAUUAAUUUACCUGAACAAUCUACCCAAAGCCCACAGUGAUAUUUUCUCUUUCAUUUCAGCAUUUGGUCUAAUCUUUCUUCAUAGUCACUCAGGAAAUUGUGAUCUCAUUUGAUCUGUGGAGGUCCUGCUGCUCUUUGGAAUUUGGUGUUUGGGGACACUACUUUCUGACAACCUAGGUGUUUUUAAUUCCUCAUAACUUCAAAGUGUGGGAA